rnacentral:rRNA from 1 species
UACGGGGGGGGCAAGCGUUGUUCGGAAUUACUGGGCGUAAAGGGCUCGUAGGUGGCCAACUAAGUCAGACGUGAAAUCCCUCGGCUUAACCGGGGAACUGCGUCUGAUACUGGAUGGCUUGAGGUUGGGAGAGGGAUGCGGAAUUCCAGGUGUAGCGGUGAAAUGCGUAGAUAUCUGGAGGAACACCGGUGGCGAAGGCGGCAUCCUGGACCAAUUCUGACACUGAGGAACGAAAGCCAGGGGAGCAAACGGG